UGCAGCCCUGUCAUAUUCAGUCCCUGCCCUCUCCAUGGCAAGGACCGGCCAUCCAGCUGCCACAGCAGCGCUGUAGUCUGUGUGCCCCACAUCCCUUCCCGUGGGCCCCUGGGGACAAACUGGUGCCACAGGCACGU
rnacentral:snoRNA from 1 species